AUCCAGACUCCUACGGGAGGCAGCAGUGGGGGAUAUUGCACAAUGGGGGGAACCCUGAUGCAGCGACGCCGCGUGGGUGAAGAAGUAUUUCGGUAUGUAAAGCCCUAUCGGCAGGGAAGAAAUUGGACGGUACCUGACUAAGAAGCCCUGACUAACUACGUGCCAGCAGCCGCGGGAAUACGUAGGGGGCAAGCGUUAUCCGGAUUCACUGGGUGUAAAGGGGGCGCAGACGGCGAUGCAAGCCAGGAGUGAAAGCCCGGGGCCCAACCCCGGGACUGCUCUUGGAACUGCGUGGCUGGAGUGCAGGAGGGGCAGGCGGAAUUCCUGGUGUAGCGGUGAAAUGCGUAGAUAUCAGGAGGAACACCGGUGGCGAAGGCGGCCUGCUGGACUGCAACUGACGUUGAGGCCCGAAAGCGUGGGGAGCAAACAGGAUUAGAUACCCCGGUACUG
rnacentral:rRNA from 1 species